rnacentral:rRNA from 1 species
CCUACGGGAGGCAGCAGUGGGGAAUCUUGCACAAUGGGGGAAACCCUGAUGCAGCAACGCCGCGUGGGUGAGGAAGUAUUUCGGUAUGUAAAGCUCUAUCAUCAGGGAAUAAAGAAGAAGGUACCUUAAAAACAAGCCCCGACUAACUACGUGCAAGCAGCCGCGGUAAUACGUAGGGGGCCAGCGUUAUCCGGAUUUACUGGGUGUAAAGGGAUCGUAGACGGAAAGGCAAGUCAGAAGUGAAAGCCCAAGGCUCAACCAUGGGACUGCAUUUGAAACUGUCAAACUAGAGUCCGGGAGAGGUAAGAGGAAUUCCUAGUGUAGCGGUGAAAUGCGUAGAUAUUAGGAGGAACACCAGUGGCGAAGGCGUCUUACUGGACCGAAACUGACGUUGAGGCUCGAAAGCGUGGGGAGCAAACAGGAUUAGAUACCCCGGUAGUC